rnacentral:rRNA from 1 species
UACAGAGGUGGCAAGCGUUGUUCGGAAUUACUGGGCGUAAAGGGCUCGUAGGCGGCCAACUAAGUCGGAUGUGAAAUCCCCAGGCUUAACCUGGAACUGCAUCCGAUACUGGAUGGCUUGAAUCCGGGAGAGGGAUGCGGAAUUCCAGGUGUAGCGGUGAAAUGCGUAGAUAUCUGGAGGAACACCGGUGGCGAAGGCGGCAUCCUGGACCGGCAUUGACGCUGAGGAGCGAAAGCCAGGGGAGCAAACGGG